rfam:Hypsibius dujardini strain Z151 scaffold0730, whole genome shotgun sequence.
GUACAAUUAAGCAAAAUAAGGGCAUGGGGAAUGCCUAGUCUCAGAGGCGAAGAAGGACGUGAUAAGCUGCGAAAAGCUGCGGGGACCUGGCACACAACAGAGUGAUCGCGCAGAGAUCCGGAAUGGGGCAACCCGCUAUGCUGAAGCAUGAGCCACACCGAUAGUGGGCAAACCCGCUGAAAACUGAAACAUCUAAGUUAGCGAGAGGAGAAGAAAACAAAGUGAAUUCCGUAAAGUAUGGCGAGCGGAACGCGAUUAGCCCAAACCCAUUUAUGUUACGGGCCAUAGGUGGGGUUGGUAGCCGCGAUAUUUCAUUUGCACAAGGAACCGGAAGUUUCUGGAAAGGACGCAUAGAGGAGUGAACAGGCCCCGUAUGGGGCAAAUCAAGGUGUUAUGAUAGCGGUAUCCUGAGAUAGGGCGGAGGCACGAUGGAAACCCUUGUCUAGAAAUUCGGCCGGGACCAUCCAGCUUAAGGCUAAAUACUCCUGAGAGACCGAUAGUGAACCAGUACCGUGAGAAAGGUGAAGAAGAACCGUGAAGUAACGAGGAAAUAGAUCCUGAACCCAUGCGCUUCUACAAGCGGUCGAGCCCUUUAGUGGGGAGGGGACGGCGUGCCUUUUGCAUAUGAGCCUACGAGUUAACGUUGCCGGCCAAGGAUAAUGUUUAAGCCAUGGAUCCGCACGCGAAAAGCGAUGUUCUGAACUAGGCGGCUUUAGUCGGCAGUGUUAGACGCGAAACGUUGGAUCUACCAUGGCAGGUGAUUGAAGCUGGGUAAACACCAGUGGAGGACCGAACCGGUUGACGUUGAAAGUUCUCGGAUGACCUUGGGUAGGGGUGAAAGGCCAAUCAAAAACUUCGUAAAUAGCUCGUACUCCCCUAAAUGCAUUUAGGUGGCAGGCGUGGUAUUAUUAUAUAGAGGUUAGAAGCUACUGAUUGAUGCGGGGCUUCACCGCCUACCCAAUUUUCCUGACAAACUCGAAUGCUAUAUAAGGUGAUUCCAACAGUGAGAGGCUUUGGGUGCUAAGGUCCAUGUCCGAGAGGGAAGAACCCAGGACAUCAGCUAGGUUCCCUAAAUAUAUGUAAUUGAAAGAACGAGGUUUGUCUUGCCCAGGACAAGCUAGGAUGUUGGUUGGAAGCCAGCCAUUCAUUUUAAAAGAGCUGCGUAAUCAGCUCAAUGUCGAGCGGACAGAGCAUGAUAUAAUCGGGCAUAAGCAUAUUACCGAAGCUAUGCGAUUUCAAGUUUACGUGCAAGUGGUAGGGUGAGCGAUGUCUGACGGGCAGAAGGUAUAUCGUAGGGAUGCUGGACGGUCAGGGAAAAAAGAAAAUGAAAGGCAAAGAUAACGAUAAUGCGGGCGAGAACCCGCCACCCGAAAAACUAAGGUUUUCCAAGCUAUGUCUAAUCACUGUGGGUUAGUCUGGACACUAAGGCGAACACGAAAGGGACAGUCGAUGGCGAACGUGAGUUAAUAUUCCCGUACUUCUUUAUUGCUGUGUUUGGGCUGACGGAGUGAUGAAAGCGCCGCGACUGGACGGAUGUUCUGUUGAAGUUACCUAGCUAUUUGUUUAUAGGCAAAUCUAAACGGAUUGUGUAAUGCGAUAGUUACUCGGAGUCUCUUCGGAUCAAAGAGGAUAGUGCGCCUAAGGGCUUCCAAGAAAAACCUCAAACUUCUAGGCAAUUAAGACCGCAGUUACCGUAAACCGACACAGUAGUGCAGGAUGAGAAUCCCUAAGUGCUCGAGAGAUUUCAUGGCUAAGGGACUUAGCAAAAUAGACCUGUACUUCCGGGAGAAAGGUCGCCCCAGCAAUGGGGGCGCAGUUGAAGAGGGUCCAGGCGAAUGUUUUUCAAAAACAGCAGGGCUCGCACAAAAUCGCAAGUGAAGUAUUAGGCCUCAGCCUGCCCGGUGCUGGAAGUUAAGAGAAGAUGUUAUCUUCCGGAGAAAGCAUUGAAUUGAAGCCCCCAGUAAACGGCGGCCGUUACUAGUAACGGUCUAAGGUAAGCGAAAAUUCCUUGUCGGGUAGUUCCGACCUGCACGAAUGGUACGUCUGGGACACUGUCUCAGCCAUGAGCUCGUUGAAUUGUAGUAACGGUGAAGAUGCCGUUUACCCGCAGUGGACGGAAAGACCCUGUGCACCUUUACUAUAGCUUAGUAUUGACCUUGGAUAAAUGAUGUGUUGGAUAGGUUGGACUUCUAUGAAGCGGCGUCGCCAGGCGUUUGGAGUCAUUGUUGAAAUACAACCCUUUGUUUAUCUGAGCUAACCGCGAGUAUCGGGACAGUUGCUUGGUGGGUAGUUUGACUGGGGUGGGUCGCCUCCCAAAAGAGAUAACGGAGGCUUCUAAAGGUCCCUCAGUACGCUAGGUAACAGUGCGGUAGAGCUGCAAUGGCAUAAGGGAGCUUUGACGUGAGAGACAGUACAGGUCGGAUCAGGUUACGAAAGUAGAGCUUAGUGAUCCGGUGGUUCCGCAUGGAAGGGCCAUCGCUCAAAGGAUAAAAGGUACUCCGGGGAUAACAGGCUGAUCUCCCCCAAGAGCUCAUAUCGACGGGGAGGUUUGGCACCUCGAUGUCGGCUCGUCGCAUCCUGGGGCUGGAGAAGGUCCCAAGGGUUGGGCUGUUCGCCCAUUAAAGCGGCACGUGAGCUGGGUUCAGAACGUCGCAAGACAGUUCGGUCCCUAUCUGUUGUGGGCGCAAGAAGAUGCAGAAUUGUGAGUGGAAGCUCUGCUGUCCAGUUACGAGAGACCGGAGUGGACACAGCCUUGUGUAAUCGGUUGUCACGCCCAUGUGGCAUUGCCGAGUAGCCUUAAGUGUGGAAGAGAUAACCGCUUGAAAGCAUCUCAAGCGGGAAACUCGUUGUCAAGAUGAGAUCUUGCCGGCCCUUGAGCCCCCUAAAGAGUCUUCAAGCCCAGACGUGAUAGUAGGUGUGGAACGCAGUAAUGCGUUAAGCUAAGCUGAUACUCAAUUGUCUCGUGCGG